UGGAUGCGUUGUUGAAUAAAUGGUGUGACGAAGAGUAUCAGGAGUAUGCUGACCAUAUGAAGCAAUUACGAGCAUUGCAAAAUACUCCUCAUUGCAUGGGGACCAAAAGCUAUGCGAGGUUGUCACACGAAGAAACUGUCAAGGAUGGCACUCCUCCUACGAGAGCACAAGCGUACAUAAAAACUCACGCGAAGAAUGAU